UACAGAGGUCCCAAGCGUUGUUCGGAUUCAUUGGGCGUAAAGGGUGCGUAGGCGGCGCGGUAAGUCGGGUGUGAAAUCUCGGAGCUUAACUCCGAAACUGCAUUCGAUACUGCCGUGCUUGAGGACUGGAGAGGAGACUGGAAUUUACGGUGUAGCGGUGAAAUGCGUAGAUAUCGUAAGGAAGACCAGUGGCGAAGGCGGGUCUCUGGACAGUUCCUGACGCUGAGGCACGAAAGCUAGGGGAGCAAACGGG
rnacentral:rRNA from 1 species